CAAGGAAACUCCCUCUACCAGUUCAGGUUUCCACCUCCUCUGCAACUUACAUUAGAGACUUACCAUGAUGAUUUUGGUAAAAGGUUAUCUAGAGGAAAGGACUAGACAAGAUACCUAAGUUCCCAUCUGCCUCUAAAUCCCUUGAUCUUGUGACCCGAGCUUAAUGUUGGAGCAAGGAACUGCACAUAAAAGGGUCAUUUUAUGGAAAAUGUACAGUUUGCAGCUGGCUCCCCAGUAAGAACAUCAAUACUACAUUCUUGAAAAAAGAAAGGAAAAAUCCUCUCUAAAGCAUCCUUGAUGAAUAAUCAUGCAGCUUCUACUUGGACACUUACAAUAAUGGAGACCUCACUCUCUGAAGACACAGCCAGUUCCAUGACUAGAUAGCUCUAAAUGUUGGAAAGAUUUUCCUUCUGUUGAGCCAUACUGUUAGUCUCUCAACUUUGACUCACUGGUGCUGCCCUUUGGAACAAUGCAAGGGCCUGCCCAGUACUGAGUGUCCCUCAAGAGGAGGGGUCAUUGGAGGACCACAAGGCGUGCAGAUGACAGUCUUUGUCACCUCAUCCUG